rnacentral:rRNA from 1 species
GAUGAACGCUGGCGGCGUGCCUAAUACAUGCAAGUCGAGCGAACAGACGAGGAGCUUGCUCCUCUGACGUUAUCGGCGGACGGGUGAGUAACACGUGGAUAACCUACCUAUAAGACUGGGAUAACUUCGGGAAACCGGAGCUAAUACCGGAUAAUAUAUUGAACCGCAUGGUUCAAUAGUGAAAGACGGUUUUGCUGUCACUUAUAGAUGGAUCCGCGCCGCAUUAGUUAGUUGGUAAGGUAACGGCUUACCAAGGCAACGAUGCGUAGCCGACCUGAGAGGGUGAUCGGACACACUGGAACUGAGACACGGUCCAGACUCCUACGGGAGGCAGCAGUAGGGAAUCUUCCGCAAUGGGCGAAAGCCUGACGGAGCAACGCCGCGUGAGUGAUGAAGGUCUUCGGAUCGUAAAACUCUGUUAUUAGGGAAGAACAAAUGUGUAAGUAACUAUGCACGUCUUGACGGUACCUAAUCAGAAAGCCACGGCUAACUACGUG